CUUGCGGCCAUAUCACGUUGAAACUCCAGUUCUCGUGUAAUCACCGAAGUCACGGAAGGUCGAGCCUGGUCAGUAUCUAGAUGGGUGACCGCUUGGGAAUAUCA